AACAUUCUCAAUUGAAAAAUCAAAGCAAUGGUCAACACUGUCAUCAAAGCCAUAAUCAUCAAUAUCAUGGAGGAAUUUGGCUGCAUCUUUUGCCCACAAAUCAUCACUUGGUGCCAAGAAGCCCUACUCUGUGGCGGAUGCAACAGGUGGGUGCACCGUGUUGACAGGGCCGUGUAUAAACGGGCAGACUGUAAGCAGCGGCCAGGAAAUCUCAUGGACUUGCCUCUGUUGUAAAGACUAGAUGCCAGUGCCCAUUGCUGCUAGCUCAAUGAUCAAUACAGACUUGAAUACACCGUCCCUUCUGCCAGAGUUAUCCUCUCCAGUUUCUUUGGCAUCGCCCUCAGACCUCGGAACAGUGGUAGAAGUUACUAAGUUCUAUGCCCUGCCAAUUAAGCCCUCCAUUGGGUACAAGGAAUGAGGAAGGUCCAAUUCCUGUUGUGAAUCCUCCAUUAAAGAGACAGUCCUGGAAGAUGUCAGUUUGGAGGACCCAAACAAUCAACACAUAACAUUUCAGCUUGUUGAAGAAGGAAGCAAGCGUCGCAAAAUGAAACCAGUGGA